AGCCCCGUAGUGUAGUGGCCAAUCAUAACGGGUUCUGGCCCCGUUGACCCAGGUUCGAAUCCUGGCGGGGCUA
rnacentral:tRNA from 1 species